GACGAACCGUGCGAACGUUAUUCGGAAUCACUGGGCUUAAAGCGCGUGUAGGCGGGCCGGCACGUCGGUGCCUGAAAGCCCCCGGCUCAACCGGGGAAUGGGGGCCGAUACGACCGGCCUGGAGGGGCGUAGGGGGACCUGGAACUUCCGGUGGAGCGGUGAAAUGCGUUGAGAUCGGAAGGAACGCCCGUGGCGAAAGCGAGGUCCUGGACGCCUGCUGACGCUGAGACGCGAAAGCCAGGGGAGCGAACGGG
rnacentral:rRNA from 2 species